rnacentral:sRNA from 1 species
UAGAUUUUGGGCCUGAGCAAGUGGGUGAGUAGUGCAGCUGUUUUCUAAGAUGGUGAGAUGCGAAACCGAGAAGGUUUAGGGGAGGGGUGGGAUGUGGUGGUCUUUGAACGUAUUGGGCUGAAAUGUCCAUUAGACAUCCAGGUAGACUCCAUACAAAUCUGGAAUUCAGAAAAGAGUAGGAAUUGGAAACAGGAAUUUGAGAGUUGUCAUUAUAUAGUUAGUAUGUAAAGAAAGCCAUGGGAAGGAUACAGAAAGCCAUUAUACAGAAAGCCAUUAUAUAGUCAAUAUAUGUAAUACAGAAAGCCAUUUAUAUAGUCAGUAUGUAAAGAAAGGCAUGGGAAGGAUACAGAAAGGCGAGCCCUGAGCCCUCCAGCUUUUCAAAGUCAGAUGGAAGAGGAGUCAGCAAAGGCUCAGAGUUAGACCUGGUUGUCGGUUCUUAACCUCUCAGAGCCACAGUUUCUUCACCUGUAAAAUGGGGAUAUUAAUACCUGGUUUGCCUAUUUCAUAGAAGUGUGGAAAAGGCUUAACUGGGAUGCCCACUAGAAAUAAAGGUUUUGUUAUUAUGUAA